rnacentral:rRNA from 1 species
GUACGGAAGGCAGCAGUGAGGAAUUUUGGGCAAUGGGCGAAAGCCUGACCCAGCAACGCCGCGUGAGGGAUGAAGGCCUUCGGGUUGUAAACCUCUUUUCUCAGGGACGAUGAUGACGGUACCUGAGGAAUAAGCCACGGCUAACUACGUGCCAGCAGCCGCGGUAAUACGUAGGUGGCGAGCGUUGUCCGGAUUUACUGGGCGUAAAGAGCGCGCAGGCGGUCGUUCAAGUCGAAUGUGAAAGCCCCCGGCUCAACUGGGGAGGGUCAUUCGAUACUGAUCGACUCGAAGGCAGGAGAGGGAAGCGGAAUUCCCGGUGUAGUGGUGAAAUGCGUAGAUAUCGGGAGGAACACCAGUGGCGAAGGCGGCUUCCUGGCCUGUUCUUGACGCUGAGGCGCGAAAGCUAGGGGAGCAAACGGGAUUAGAUACCCCAGUAC